rnacentral:rRNA from 1 species
UACGUAGGGAGCAAGCGUUGUCCGGAAUCAUUGGGCGUAAAGCGCGCGUAGGUGGCUUCGUAAGUCCGUUGUGAAAGUCAAAGGCUCGACCUUUGAAAGCCGAUGGAUACUGUGGAGCUAGAGUACGGAAGAGGCGAGUGGAAUUCCUGGUGUAGCGGUGGAAUGCGCAGAUAUCAGGAGGAACACCAAUAGCGAAGGCAGCUCGCUGGGACGUUACUGACACUGAGGCGCGAAAGCGUGGGGAGCGAACAGG